rnacentral:lncRNA from 1 species
UGGUAGUGGGUUGUUGGUGGUAGUGGAUUAGUGGAUGGUUGUUGGUGUCCAUUUUCAACCACAAAUCUUUGCCAAAGUUUUGGACAAUUAUGUCCUUGAACUCUCUUAUAAAUAGAGAGGUUCAUUAGCCAUAUUCAUCAUCCCAAAACCAAGAGAGAGCAAAGCUUGUUCUUUGAAAGCUAGGAUUUUAGCUUUCGGGUUUUCUAUAGGGGUUGAGAGUUGUGAGGUUCUCGGGUUGUGUCUUGAGUGUAAAACACUUGUAAUCUUCAUCUUGUUAUAGUGAAAUUUCUUUUCGCCUCUGCCCGUGGACGUAGGCAUUAAAGCCGAACCACGUAAAUCCUUGUGUUCACUUUAUUUUUCGUUUCGGUCAAUUUACUUGUAGUC